UCUUCUUGCUUCUUCUCUUUCCUUCUUCUCUGUUUCUCUGCGACUGUUAAAUCUGAGUGUUAGAUAUUAAGGUUCUGAGAUCGAAAUAAGUCGAAGUUGAUCAUGAAUUAAGUGAUGGUGGUGGUACUGUUGCUGUUUGAGUUUAGGAAAAAGUUGAAUCGAGAAAUCAGUGAGUUAGGGUUUUCUAAAUUGAAUUAUCUUCUGAGUUAGUGUAGAAUUGAUGAUGAUAUAGUGUUGUUGACGGAUAAAUAACAACUGGGUUAUUGUUUAAUUGGAGUUGUAGUGUUGUUUUGGAGAUCAAUUCGAGAUUAAAGGAGAUGAGGGUUUCUGUUCUUCCCCAAGUUGAAGAACUAGUGAGUUAGGGUUUGUAUGAAUUUCAGAGAAGAUGUAGAAGAUGAAGUUGAGAGUUCAGCAGAAAGAUUAGAGAGGUGUCUUGUUGAUGUGAUAAAUUGAAUUUGUUGUUGGUGUUCGAAUUAAUUUGGGAAAUUAUUUUAGGGUUCUUCUGAGAAUAAAUGAUAGAACUGAAGAUUGAGAGCUAAAGGCUAGGGCUCGGCUCUGUUAAUAAUAUGGUGAUGUAUUUCUAAGUCGAAUCAGAUUGAAGAAGGGUUGAUUGCAGUUGGUUGAGAGAAUCUGUUUUGAGGUAAUUUAUUCUCAUUGUCUUAGUAAGCUUUUGAUUUCAGUUAAAUGAAUUUAUGGAUGUUGAGGAAGAUAUAAUGAAACUACGAUUUAAAUGAUUAUAGAAUGGAAUUGUGAUUGUGGAUGCAAAAUAGUUAUGCAAAUGAAGAACAAGAGUCUUAUAAGGGUGUAUGUGUUGUUGUGAGAAUUGAAUGUGACUCUGAAAUGAAGUAUGGGGAUAUUGAUAUUGUUGUGAUGAUGUUGUUCUGUGGAUGUUGUGAUGUUAUUGAAUGCAGAGAUGACAUUGGAGGUCUGUUGGUGUUGUAAUGGCAGUCUAUAUGGGGUUAGUAGCUAGAGAUGAUGUUUUUUGUGUAUCUGUGGCUGCAGGUGUCGGGAGUUGAGUUAUUGGUGAGUCUUAUUAGUUCAGAUUGAGUUAAUAGACGGACCAUAGGUGUUGGUGGUAUGAACUAAGAAGUGCAAGGACAAUGAAAUUGGCAGGAUAAUGAUGUGGUGGUAGCUAGAACUAGAGGCAUGGAUGGAUGUUUAAUUGAAGUGAUUUCAGGUCAUGGGUUCGUUAUGAUUAGAGAGUGAUGAGCUGAAUUGAACUUAGUUUGAUGGUGUUGUUUGUCCAUUUGUGAUGCCGUAACAGACUGAAGUUGAAUUGGUUGUGUUGAAUAUGUUGAGAUGAUCUGGAUGUUACCUAAAGCUACACUUGCAGUUAGUCUAUUAACAACGAUUGAUUCAAAGGAUGCACCAGUGGAUCGUGGAUCUCGAGGUAGGCGUGGCUUGUCAUCAAAAGAGAUGGGAAUAGUUUAACUCUUUUGAAACCAUUGUUAUUUCUUUUACAAAAGUUGAUGUUUAACAAACUCAUACUUUGUCUGUUUUUGCAUUUCAUACUUUGUUUAGUUUGUAUUAUGAUUGUGUUGUUGAUUCUUUGAAUCUUUCCAUGAAUUGGAAAUGACUUGUAAUGUUUGUCAUUAUAAAUUGUUAUGGUAAAUAAUAAUUUCCACGUGUGGUAUAGGAUA